rnacentral:lncRNA from 1 species
UGGACUCUAAUCUCGAAUUGUUGUUCAACUCCAAAAUAUAAUAAAUUAUCAAUUGGCUUGUGACGCAUGGCCUAUUUGAAUGAUCUUGGUGGAGUUGCUACAAUUUGACAAUCUCAGACAUUUUGGCCAUAUCACAAUUUGAGAUAUCAACUUCAGCUAAGGUAGGUGGCAAAUAUAAAACUGGUUGCAAUUGACUGGUACAACAACCUCAUAAUUUACUGUUUACUUCACAAAACGAAGAUAAUAUUUGCGACAAUGUUUAACUAAUCCAUCACAUUACCGGGAUCAUUGGCUUUUACUUUCCAGAUACUGAUUGCCUAAGAACAGAACGCAGGAACUAGGUUUGCUUUGGAUUUUCCUCUCUUUGUUUAACAAAAAUUACAACAUUGCAUGAAAGGGAGAGUGAAAGCUUCAUUUGGAAGAAAAUAAAUAGGGGAGGCGGCUCAGGUCAGAGAUAAAGGUAUCCAGAAGCUUAUGUAUGGUCGUCCAUGUAUUAUGUAUUAUGAGAAGUUGAAAAUAAUAAUAAUAAUAAUAAUGUUGAUGAUGAUGAUUGAUGAUGACAUUAAUAAUGAUGAUAACCACCAUGACAACAAGAUGAUGAAAUGAUGAUGAGAU